UACGAAGGGGGGCUAGCGUUGCUCGGAAUUACUGGGCGUAAAGGGCGCGUAGGCGGACAGUUUAGUCAGAGGUGAAAGCCCAGGGCUCAACCUUGGAAUUGCCUUUGAUACUGGCUGUCUUGAGUUCGGGAGAGGUGAGUGGAAUUCCUAGUGUAGAGGUGAAAUUCGUAGAUAUUAGGAAGAACACCAGUGGCGAAGGCGGCUCACUGGCCCGGUACUGACGCUGAGGCGCGAAAGCGUGGGGAGCAAACAGG
rnacentral:rRNA from 1 species